GAUGAAGAACGCAGCGAAAUGCGAUACUUGGUGUGAAUUGCAGAAUCCCGUGAACCAUCGAGUUUUUGAACGCAAGUUGCGCCCGAAGCCGUUAGGCUGAGGGCACGCCUGCCUGGGUGUCACAUAUCGUUGCCUGAUGCCAGUUUCCUCGUGAUGGGUGACUGUGCAGGGCGAAUGAUGGCUUCCCGUGAGCAUUGUUGCCUCAUGGUUGGUUGAAAAUUGAGUCCUUGGUAGGGAGCGCCGUGAUAGAUGGUGGUUGAGUGACGAACGAGACCCAAUCAUGUGAGACCCCUACCGAAUUUGGCCUUCAUGACCCACAUGCGUCUUUGGAACGCUCAUGACGAGACCUCAGGUCAGGCGGGGCUACCCGCUGAGUUUAAGCAUAUCAAUAAGCGGAGGA
rnacentral:misc_RNA from 1 species